rnacentral:lncRNA from 1 species
CGCUAUGGGGUAAUAUGGAGCGCUAUGGGGUAAUAUGGAGCGCUAUGGGGGCACAUGGAGUGCUAUGGGGCAGCACCGGCCCCAUAGCAGCCCCUGCCCCACAGCGGCACCCCUCCCUAUGGCACCCCAUGGUGGUGGGGUGGCUGCUGUGGGGUAGGGGGUGCUGUGGGUCCGAUGCUGCUAUGGGGCAGGUGGUGCCAUAGGGUGGUUCCAUGGGGUGGGCUGCUGCUGUGGGGCAGGGGCUGCUAUGGGGCAGGUGGUGCCAUAGGGUGGUGCCAUGGGGUGGGCUGCUGCUGUGGGUCAGAUGCUGCUAUGGGGCAGGUGGUGCCAUGGGGUGGCGCUAUGGGGUGGGCUGCUGCUGUGGGGCUGGGGCUGCUGUGGGUCAGAUGCUGCUAUGGGGCAGGUGAUGCCAUAGGGUGGUGCCAUGGGGUGGGUUGCUGCUAUGGGGCAGGGGCUGCAAUGGGGCAGAUGGUGCCAUGGGGUGGCGCUAUGGGGUGGAGUGCUGCUGUGGGGCAGGGGCUGCUGUGGGUCAGAUGCUGCUAUGGGGCAGGGGGGUGCCAUAGGGUGGGGUGCCGGUAUGGGGAAGGGGCUGCUAUGGGGCCGGUGCUGCCCCAUUGAACUCCAUGUGGCCCCAUAGCGCUCCAUAUUACCCCAUAGCUCUCCAGAUUACCCCAUAGCGCUCCAUAUAACCCCAUAGCGCUCCAUAUUACCCCAUAGCGCUCCAUAUUACCCCAUAGCGCUCCAUAUUGCCCCAUAGCGCUCUGUGUGCCCCCAUAGCACUCCAUGUUACCCCAUAGCGCUCCAUAUUACCCCAUAGCACUCCAUGUGCCCCCAUAGCGCUCCAUAUAACCCCAUAGCACUCCAUAUUACCCCAUAGCGCUCCAUAUUACACCAUAGCACUCCAUAUUACCCCAUAGCGCUCCAUAUAACCCCAUAGCUCUCCAUAUUACCCCAUAGCGCUCCAUAUUACCCCAUAGCACUCCAUGUGACCCCAUAGCUCUCCAUAUAACCCCGUAGCGCUCCAUAUUACUCCAUAGCACUCCAUAUUACCCCAUAGCACUCCAUGUGGCCCCAUAGCACUCCAUAUUACCCCAUAGCGCUCCAUAUGGCUCCAUAGCGGUCCAUAUAACCCCAUAGCGCUCCAUAUUACCCCAUAGGACUCCAUGUGACCCCAUAGCACUCCAUAUCACCCCAUAGCACUCAUUGUUGCCCCACAGCACUCCAUGUGCCCCCAUAGCGCUCCAUAUAACCCCAUAGAGCUCCACGUUGCCCCACAGCACUCCUUGUGGCCCCAUAGCGCUCCAUAUUACCCCAUAGCGCUCCAUGUGUCCCCAUAGCCCUCCAUAUUACCCCAUAGCACUCCAUGUGACCCCAUAGCACUCAUUGUUGCCCCACAGCACUCCAUGUGCCCCCAUAGCCCUCCAUAUUACCCCAUAGAGCUCUGUGUGGCCCCAUAGCACUCCAUAUUACCCCAUAGCGCUCCAUAUUACCCCAUAGCGCUCCAUAUUACCCCAUAGAGCUCCAUGUUACCCCAUAGCACUCCAUGUGGCCCCAUAGCGCUCCAUAUUACCCCAUAGCGCUCCGUGUGUCCCCAUAGCCCUCCAUAUUACCCCAUAGCACUCCAUGUGCCCCCAUAGCACUCCAUAUUACCCCAUAGCGCUCCAUAUAACCCCAUAGCACUCCAUAUUACCCCAUAGCGCUCCAUAUUACAACAUAGCACUCCAUAUUACCCCAUAGCGCUCCAUAUUACCCCAUAGCGCUCCAUAUAACCCCAUAGCGCUCCAUAUAACCCCAUAGCACUCCAUGUGCCCCCAUAGCAUUCCAUAUUACCCCACAGCAUUCCAUAUAACCCCAUAGCAUUCCAUAUUACCCCAUAGCGCUCCAUAUAACCCCAUAGCACUCCAUAUUACCCCAUAGCGCUCCAUAUUACAACAUAGCACUCCAUAUUACCCCAUAGCGCUCCAUAUUACCCCAUAGCGCUCCGUGUGUCCCCAUAGCCCUCCAUAUUACCCCAUAGCACUCCAUGUGACCCCAUAGCGCUCCGCG